rnacentral:rRNA from 1 species
UGGGGAAUAUUGCACAAUGGGCGCAAGCCUGAUGCAGCAACGCCGCGUGAACGAUGAAGGUCUUCGGAUCGUAAAGUUCUGUUGCAGGGGAAGAUAAUGACGGUACCCUGUGAGGAAGCCCCGGCUAACUACGUGCCAGCAGCCGCGGUAAUACGUAGGGGGCUAGCGUUAUCCGGAUUUACUGGGCGUAAAGGGUGCGUAGGUGGUCUUUCAAGUCGGUGGUUAAAGGCUACGGCUCAACCGUAGUUAGCCUCCGAAACUGGAAGACUUGAGUGCAGGAGAGGAAGGUGGAAUUCCCAGUGUAGCGGUGAAAUGCGUAGAUAUUGGGAGGAACACCAGUAGCGAAGGCGGCUUUCUGGACUGCAACUGACACUGAGGAACGAAAGCGUGGGUAGCAAACAGG